GAGGACCCAGCGCCUCAAGCGCGACAUGGAUCUCUCCAUGAAGCAUGAGUACUUGAGCAAAGAUCUGCAGAUAUGCUCAACAAGGGCUUCGUCCUUGAUGCCCUCACCUACUACUCUCUCCUCAACAGUCUCUGCCGCAAGAAACGGCUCCGCGAGGCCGUCAGGUGUUGGAGGAGAUGUUGAAGCUUAUCUAAUUGUUGCAUGUUAUCUGCAUUUCAGUUGUGGAAGCUGCCAAAGCAACGUUCUAAAAUUGCGAGGCAAUCUAAUUUGAACUGUAUAUCUUUGAAUGAAAACAAAGGCUUUGUAAACAUUACAGUUCAAAUGGACAAUUUCAGAAGGUCUGGAGAUGAAAGAAUCUAAAAUCUGUUGAAGAAAUGCUAGAAACUAUGUAUACAAUUUCACAAAUGUAUUAUCCUGGAAAAAAAAUUCACUUUGUAAACAAUUUCACAAAUGUAAACAAUUUCGGUUCAAAGUU